CUUGCAGAGCUCCUACCCCAUUUGGGAGGAUUUCAACUCGAAGGCCACCAAGCUGCACUCCCAGCUCAGGACCACAGUGCUGGCCGCAGUCGCCUUCCUGGAUGCCUUCCAGAAAGUGGCCGACAUGGCCACCAACACCCGAGGUGCCACCAGGGACAUUGGCUCCGCGCUGACCCGCAUGUGCAUGCGGCACCGCAGCAUCGAGGCCAAGCUCCGCCAGUUCACCAACGCCCUCAUGGAGAGCCUGAUAAACCCUUUGCAGGACAGGAUCGAGGACUGGAAGAAAACGGCCAACCAGCUGGACAAGGACCACGCUAAAGGUACAGGAGAG